rnacentral:rRNA from 1 species
UGCCAGCAGCCGCGGUAAUACGGAAGGUCCUAGCGUUGUUCGGAAUUACUGGGCGUAAAGCGCAUGUAGGCGGAACAGAAAGUUAGAAGUGAAAUCCCUGGGCUCAACCUAGGAAUUGCUUUUAAAACUUCUGUUCUGGAAUUCAGGAGAGGAAAAUGGAAUUUCCAGUGUAGAGGUGAAAUUCGUAGAUAUUUGGAGGAACACCAGUGGCGAAGGCGGCUCACUGGCUCGAUACUGACGCUGAGGUACGAAAGUGUGGGGAGCAAACAGGAUUAGAUA